rnacentral:tRNA from 1 species
GGGGGUGUAGCUCAGUGGUAGAGCGCUCGCUUCGCAUGUGAGAAGUCCCGGGUUCAAACCCCGCACCUCCA